GUUCAGUUUGUUGAUUUUCUGAAGUUUUUAAAUUGGACUAUAACCGUGUAUAUUUUGCAGGGCCCUGUGAAGUUCAAUUUGUUUUGCUUUCCGAAGUUCAGUUUGUUGAUUUUCUGAAGUUUGGAUUGCUAAUUUUUUGAAGAGAAAGGUUGAUUCACUUACACUCCUCUAUCUAGUCCUGUGUGGUGAUAUCCUCGACUCCUUGGUUCGGAGCUAGAAGCGGUUCUUCAACUUCCCUGCUGUGUUGUCGCGAUUGUUGCUGAGACAAAUUUUAUACUUUGUUCAUCUACGGUGCCAAGUUGAGCGGACACCGUAGCACUCGAGAAGAUGGGGAGAGGAUGUGUGGUGAAGAGAAAACAUAGGGUUUCAAAUUUUCCAUUGGUGGUAGCAUCUAAUCAUUUUACCAAAGUGUAAUGGACAUGUGUAUGUAUGUAUAGUAGCAUAUUUUACUCGAACUGAGUUAUUUUUUU